AUAUGAUGAAACCAAACUGAAAAGCUGGAAUUACCGGCAGAAUGUUCAGUGGUGAUGUACUGGUUUCUGAUC